rnacentral:ribozyme from 1 species
CCUUUAAAGCUACUGCCCUUUUGGGUAACGGUCACAAGUCCGUGUAAAGGCUGAGUGGAGG